rnacentral:rRNA from 1 species
GACGAACGCUGGCGGCGUGCCUAAUACAUGCCAGUCGAGCGGACGAAUCGAAAGCUUGCUUUUGAUUCGUUAGCGGCGGACGGGUGAGUAACACGUGGGCAACCUGCCCUGUAGACGGGGAUAACACCGAGAAAUCGGUGCUAAUACCGGAUAACACGAAAUGUCGCAUGACGUUUCGUUUAAAGACGGCGCAAGCUGUCGCUACAGGAUGGGCCCGCGGCGCAUUAGCUAGUUGGUGAGGUAACGGCUCACCAAGGCGACGAUGCGUAGCCGACCUGAGAGGGUGAUCGGCCACACUGGGACUGAGACACGGCACAGACUCCUACGGGAGGCAGCAGUAGGGAAUCUUCAGAAAUGGACGAAAGUAUGACGGAGCAACGCCGCGUGAGCGAAGAAGGCCUUCGGGUCGUAAAGCUCUGUUGUUAGGGAAGAACAAGUAACGCAGUAACUGGCGUUACCGUGACGGUACCUAACGAGAAAGCCACGGCUAACUACGUG